UGGGUGCGCUUGUCCUAGAAAUAAUGACCAGACUUGACCAACUCCCGAUUGGCACAGUGCAAAUUACUGGACUGUCCCAGCUCUCUCCCAGCCAUCCAAUCAGCGGAUUUUUCACCAUAGUUUCACCGACAUCUGAUAAACUAGGAGAGCUGCAGGUCUCAUUAGUUUUAGAACCCCUGCCUGAAAUGUAUGACACCGGUAGCUCUAUCCCAAACACAGAUGCGGGUUUAGAUAUCACUCCCUCUACCCAGGGAAGCAGCAAGCCCCAGCUUCUUGCACCGUCACAGCAAUCCAAGCAAAUGGGGGUGACUACUGCUGGCCAAGAGUCUCUUAACAAUAGCAGACCUACAACUCCCAGAGGAAAGGACCAUUUUUUCUUUCAAGAGAAUUCUGAAAACAUAAAGGAUAUUUAUGCUGCUUCUCACCACCAUCUGAUUUUACCAGAUGAGCAUUUGAAAGUGACUCCUUCAAAUCAGCAAGUGUCAUUUCCCACAAGCACUGAUCUUGAAACACCUGCUAGAACAAACACGCGGGUGCUCUCUUUGCAUAACCCAACUACAAAAGAUCUGCUUUCAGCUCUUUUGGAUCAGGGCAAUAAACUCCGUGAUGCCAUGGUUGUUUCUGCAAUGAAAUCUACACCGGACGUGGAGAUUGAACUGAAUGAAGUGCCUCCUUCCGUAAAGACAGAUGGUUUCAAAGCAAAA